rnacentral:rRNA from 1 species
AUUGAACGCUGGCGGCAUGCUUUACACAUGCAAGUCGAACAGUAACAGGGAGCCUGCUCCGCUGACGAGUGGCGAACGGGUGAGUAAUAUAUCGGAACGUACCCAAGAGUGGGGGAUAACGUAGCGAAAGUUACGCUAAUACCGCAUACGAUCUAAGGAUGAAAGCAGGGGACCUUCGGGCCUUGUGCUCCUGGAGCGGCCGAUAUCGGAUUAGCUAGUUGGUGAGGUAAAGGCUCACCAAGGCGACGAUCAGUAGCUGGUCUGAGAGGACGACAGGCACAACUGGACCGAGCACCCGGUCCAGACUCCUACGGGAGGCAGAGGUGGGGAUUUUUGGAAAAUGGGGGCAAGCCUGAUCCAGCAAUGCCGCGUGAGUGAAGAGGGCCUUGGGGUUGAAAAGCUUUUUUGUAAGGAAAGAAACGGCUGUGGCUAAUAUCCACGGCAAAUGCCGGUACCUGAAAAAUAAGCACCGGCUAACUACGUGCCAGCCCCCGCCGUAA